rnacentral:rRNA from 1 species
AUUGAACGCUGGCGGCAGGCCUAACACAUGCAAGUCGAACGAGUGGCGGACGGGUGAGUAAUGUCUGGGAAACUGCCCGAUGGAGGGGGAUAACUACUGGAAACGGUAGCUAAUACCGCAUACCAUCGGAUGUGCCCAGAUGGGAGUAGCUAGUAGGUGGGGUAACGGCUCACCUGGGCGACGAUCCCUAGCUGGGCUGAGAGGAUGACCAGGCACGCUGGAACUGAGACACGGUCCGGGCUCCUACGGGAGGCAGCGGUGGGGAAAAUUGCACAAUGGGAGCAAGCCUGAUGCAGCCAUGCCGCGUGUAUGAAGGAGGCCUUCGGGUUGUAAAGUACUUUCAGCGAGGAGGCGUUACUCGCAGAAGAAGCACCGGCUAACUCCGUGCCAGCAGCCGCGGUAAUAC